CCGAUAGCGAACAAGUACCGCGA
rnacentral:snRNA from 1 species